AGCGAACGCUGGCGGCAGGCCUAAUACAUGCAAGUCGAGCGCACCUUCGGGUGAGCGGCGGACGGGUGAGUAACGCGUGGGAACGUGCCCUUUGGUACGGGAUAACUGAGGGAAACUUCAGCUAAUACCGUAUGUGCCCUACGGGGGAAAGAUUUAUCGCCAUUGGAGCGGCCCGCGUUGGAUUAGCUAGUUGGUGGGGUAAAGGCUCACCAAGGCUACGAUCCAUAGCUGGUCUGAGAGGAUGAUCAGCCACACUGGGACUGAGACACGGCCCAGACUCCUACGGGAGGCAGCAGUAGGGAAUCUUGCGCAAUGGGCGAAAGCCUGACGCAGCCAUGCCGCGUGAAUGAUGAAGGUCUUGGGAUUGUAAAAUUCUUUCACCGGGGAAGAUAAUGACGGUACCCGGAGAAGAAGCCCCGGCUAACUUCGUGCCAGCAGCCGCGGUAACAC
rnacentral:rRNA from 1 species